rnacentral:rRNA from 1 species
AGCAGGGGAUCUUCGGACCUUGCGCUAAUAGAUGAGCCUAAGUCGGAUUAGCUAGUUGGUGGGGUAAAGGCCUACCAAGGCGACGAUCUGUAGCGGGUCUGAGAGGAUGAUCCGCCACACUGGGACUGAGACACGGCCCAGACUCCUACGGGAGGCAGCAGUGGGGAAUAUUGGACAAUGGGCGCAAGCCUGAUCCAGCCAUGCCGCGUGUGUGAAGAAGGCCUUUUGGUUGUAAAGCACUUUAAGCGAGGAGGAGGCUCCUUUAGUUAAUACCUAAAGUGAGUGGACGUUACUCGCAGAAUAAGCACCGGCUAACUCUGUGCCAGCAGCCGCGGUAAUACAGAGGGUGCGAGCGUUAAUCGGAUUUACUGGGCGUAAAGCGUGCGUAGGCGGCUUUUUAAGUCGGAUGUGAAAUCCCUGAGCUUAACUUAGGAAUUGCAUUCGAUACUGGAAAGCUAGAGUAUGGGAGAGGAUGGUAGAAUUCCAGGUGUAGCGGUGAAAUGCGUAGAGAUCUGNGAGGAAUACCGAUGGCGAAGGCAGCCAUCUGGCCUAAUACUGACGCUGAGGUACGAAAGCAUGGGGAGCAAACAGGAUUAGAUACCCUGGUAGUCCAUGCCGUAAACGAUGUCUACUACCCGUUGGGGCCUUUGAGGCUUUAGUGGCGCAGCUAACGCGAUAAGUAGACCGCCUGGGGAGUACGGUCGNCNAAGACUAAAACUCAAAUGAAUUGACGGGGGCCCGCACAAGCGGUGGAGCAUGUGGUUUAAUUCGAUGCAACGCGAAGAACCUUACCUGGCCUUGACAUACUAAGAACUUUCCAGAGAUGGAUUGGUGCCUUCGGGAACUUAGAUACAGGUGCUGCAUGGCUGUCGUCAGCUCGUGUCGUGAGAUGUUGGGUUAAGUCCCGCAACGAGCGCAACCCUUUUCCUUAUUUGCCAGCGGGUAAUGCCGGGAACUUUAAGGAUACUGCCAGUGACAAACUGGAGGAAGGCGGGGACGACGUCAAGUCAUCAUGGCCCUUACGGCCAGGGCUACACACGUGCUACAAUGGUCGGUACAAAGGGUUGCUACCUCGCGAGAGGAUGCUAAUCUC